rnacentral:rRNA from 1 species
CAAUAGCGUAUAUUAAAGUUGUUGCAGUUAAAAAGCUCGUAGUUGAAUUUCGGGUCCCCGCGCUCGGCGCUUCAUUGUGCCGUCGUGGUGUCCCUCCUCGCCGUAAGGCGUCCUUUACUGUGAAAAAAUUAGAGUGUUCAAAGCAGGCAAUCGCUUGAAUACAUUAGCAUGGAAUAAUAAGAUAGGAUCUUGUCUAUUUUGUUGGUUGCGGACAACGAUAAUGAUUAAUAGGGAUAGUUGGGGGUGUCCAUAUUGAGCUGUCAGAGGUGAAAUUCUUGGAUUUGCUCAAGACGAACUACUGCGAAAGCAUUCACCAAGGAUGUUUUCAUUAA